UUAAGCGACUAAGCGUACACGGUGGAUGCCCUGGCAGUCAGAGGCGAUGAAGGACGUGCUAAUCUGCGAAAAGCGUCGGUAAGGUGAUAUGAACCGUUAUAGCCGGCGAUGUCCGAAUGGGGAAACCCAGUGCAAUUCGUUGCACUAUCGUUAACUGAAUACAUAGGUUAACGAGGCGAACCGGGGGAACUGAAACAUCUAAGUACCCCGAGGAAAAGAAAUCAACCGAGAUUCCCCCAGUAGCGGCGAGCGAACGGGGAGCAGCCCAGAGUCUGAAUCAGCUUGUGUGUUAGUGGAACGGUCUGGAAAGUCCGACGGUACAGGGUGAUAGUCCCGUACACCAAAAUGCACAGGUUGUGAACUCGAAGAGUAGGGCGGGACACGUGGUAUCCUGUCUGAAUAUGGGGGGACCAUCCUCCAAGGCUAAAUACUCCUGACUGACCGAUAGUGAACCAGUACCGUGAGGGAAAGGCGAAAAGAACCCCGGCGAGGGGAGUGAAAAAGAACCUGAAACCGUGUACGUACAAGCAGUGGGAGCACCUUCGGGUGUGACUGCGUACCUUUUGUAUAAUGGGUCAGCGACUUAUAUUCUGUAGCAAGGUUAACCGUAUAGGGGAGCCGCAGGGAAACCGAGUCUUAACUGGGCGUUAAGUUGCAGGGUAUAGACCCGAAACCCGGUGAUCUAGCCAUGGGCAGGUUGAAGGUUGGGUAACACUAACUGGAGGACCGAACCGACUAAUGUUGAAAAAUUAGCGGAUGACUUGUGGCUGGGGGUGAAAGGCCAAUCAAACCGGGAGAUAGCUGGUUCUCCCCGAAAGCUAUUUAGGUAGCGCCUCGUGAACUCAUCUUCGGGGGUAGAGCACUGUUUCGGCUAGGGGGUCAUCCCGACUUACCAACCCGAUGCAAACUACGAAUACCGAAGAAUGUUAUCACGGGAGACACACGGCGGGUGCUAACGUCCGUCGUGAAGAGGGAAACAACCCAGACCGCCAGCUAAGGUCCCAAAGUCAUGGUUAAGUGGGAAACGAUGUGGGAAGGCACAGACAGCCAGGAUGUUGGCUUAGAAGCAGCCAUCAUUUAAAGAAAGCGUAAUAGCUCACUGGUCGAGUCGGCCUGCGCGGAAGAUGUAACGGGGCUAAACCAUGCACCGAAGCUGCGGCAGCGACACUAUGUGUUGUUGGGUAGGGGAGCGUUCUGUAAGCCUGCGAAGGUGUGCUGUGAGGCAUGCUGGAGGUAUCAGAAGUGCGAAUGCUGACAUAAGUAACGAUAAAGCGGGUGAAAAGCCCGCUCGCCGGAAGACCAAGGGUUCCUGUCCAACGUUAAUCGGGGCAGGGUGAGUCGACCCCUAAGGCGAGGCCGAAAGGCGUAGUCGAUGGGAAACAGGUUAAUAUUCCUGUACUUGGUGUUACUGCGAAGGGGGGACGGAGAAGGCUAUGUUAGCCGGGCGACGGUUGUCCCGGUUUAAGCAUGUAGGCUGAUUGUCCAGGCAAAUCCGGAUAAUCAAGGCUGAGGUGUGAUGACGAGGCACUACGGUGCUGAAGUAACAAAUGCCCUGCUUCCAGGAAAAGCCUCUAAGCAUCAGGUAACAUCAAAUCGUACCCUAAACCGACACAGGUGGUCAGGUAGAGAAUACCAAGGCGCUUGAGAGAACUCGGGUGAAGGAACUAGGCAAAAUGGUGCCGUAACUUCGGGAGAAGGCACGCUGGUGUGUAGGUGAAGCCCCUGCGGGUGGAGCUGAGACCAGUCGAAGAUACCAGCUGGCUGCAACUGUUUAUUAAAAACACAGCACUGUGCAAACACGAAAGUGGACGUAUACGGUGUGACGCCUGCCCGGUGCCGGAAGGUUAAUUGAUGGGGUUAUCCGUAAGGAGAAGCUCUUGAUCGAAGCCCCGGUAAACGGCGGCCGUAACUAUAACGGUCCUAAGGUAGCGAAAUUCCUUGUCGGGUAAGUUCCGACCUGCACGAAUGGCGUAAUGAUGGCCAGGCUGUCUCCACCCGAGACUCAGUGAAAUUGAACUCGCUGUGAAGAUGCAGUGUACCCGCGGCAAGACGGAAAGACCCCGUGAACCUUUACUAUAGCUUGACACUGAACAUUGAGCCUUGAUGUGUAGGAUAGGUGGGAGGCUUUGAAGCGUGGACGCCAGUCUGCGUGGAGCCAACCUUGAAAUACCACCCUUUAAUGUUUGAUGUUCUAACGUUGGCCCCU
rnacentral:rRNA from 1 species